CGGUAUCUGUGCAUUUAAAAAGAUGUUAUUAAAAACCCAGUGCAUUCAUAUAAAUAACUUAAGAUACUUUAUACAAUCUAAAAGCAUCUUCGAUACAAAUCUGAAUUGAUUGAUUACUUACACCACGUUUCAAAGUAUUAUUCAAAUUGUAUUUAAAUGUCAUAAAAAUUAUUUUUUUUUGUUUCUUAGUUUAACUCAUGAAUGAUAUUGUGUCUCUUUGGCUCUUUGGAUCGCUGAAAUCAAAUGUCAGACACCUGUGAUAAUUAGUUUGCCAGGUGAGUCCAAUUAUAGUAAAACUACUUAAAAAGGAUGUUCCCCAUUAUUAAGCAGGCCACAUGUUUCAAGCAACAUGGGAAAGAAAAACGAUCUCUCUGCAGCCGAAAAGCAUCAAAUAGUGCAAUGUCUUGUACAAGGUAUGAAAACAUUACAUAUGUCUGUACUGUGAAGAGGUUUGUGGCUGAUUCAGAGCACAGAUGGCUUCGUGCAGAUAAAGGCAAAAUGAGGAAGCUUUCUGCCAGGCAAGUUAAUAAGAUUAAGAGUGCAGCUGCAAAUUCAACAAAUGACCAUUUUCAAAUUUUGUGUAUAUAAAAAUGUUAUACAUUUUUUAUCACAAAAAAAAAACAAAUUACCAUUUCAGUUCUUUACAACCUAUAAAAUAAUGAAUAAAAAAUAUAAAAUACAUUUUGAGUUUUUUUUUUUAAGGAAUUUACUGUUGUCAUCGGGAGGUUUGUUCAAUAAAAUUCCAUUUAUACUCUUACGGGUGAUGACUUUUAUUAUACUGACUAGUGCUGGGCAGUAUUACCAAAAAUGCAUAUCACAGUAUUUUUCAAAAUUCUGACGGUUUCAUGGUAUAUUACAGUAUUUUUAUGAUUAUGAUGUACCCCUGGUAAAUUUUGGUACAUUUUGGGUUUACUUUUAUUUUAUUUCAUAAAGUGCCUUUGUGGUAAAGUUUCUAAAAUCUCUAAAAACUGUUUAAUACGGUUAAAAUACGGUUAUACAGUUCAUGGGUUAAAAACUGUAUAUAAAAUGUUUUAAAAAAUACUGAGUAUGAGGCUUGUAAGUUGAAAAGCCUUUUCAUUGGCUAGAAGUGGUGUCACUCAUUGUCAGAGUCUACCUUUCCUGUUGAUUGGUGCUUAGGCUGUAGGGGAGCGGGGAGAUGAGAGUGGGUGUGGGAGACGGAGCGAGAAGCAGGGGAAGAGAGAGAGAUGAACGCAGCAUCUAAAUAUAGAAUAAUAAUGUAAAACACGUUAUAUUUUGUUAUUUUAUCGGCAAGUCAAGCGCUGGGUUGUCAACCAGAGAACCUGAAAGUGGACAGAUAAGCCAAAGAGCCAAACUCGUAAAGUUAAGUUCUGCUGCUGAGGUCUGCCCCAUCGGUUAACAGCCCCCGAGUGAGCUGAAGUUCGCUUUCCCACUGAACCAGAGAGACUGGGUACCAGGUAUUAGUGCACCGUUUUCACCUCAAUUAUCACCAGAUAACCAGUCUAAACUGCCGUGAGGCUCAGACUUCCUCUGGCAACGCUGGAUUCCCCUUUCAGAAGCAAGACUGCAGUUCUCACCAUGUCUGCUAGAGCUACGUAGAGGAAGACCCCAGCGGUGACGGUGAGAAUCCAGGGCGAGUGCUGAGCCCACUGAUGACCCAUUGCCGUUCCCCCCAGCACCCCCACAUAUCCCAGCAGAGCCGAGAGCAGACUGAACACAGCCAGCCUGCGCACAGGCCAGCCUGCAGCCAACAGCACCGCCAGAUCACCUGCAGAGAGAGAGAGAGAGAGAGAGAGAACGAACAGCAGAUCAAAUGCUGCCCAGAAGCUGUAGGUCAUACCAAGUUCGUGAGGAAGCUCAUGGCAGAAGACUGCAAUAGUGGUGCUGAGUCCUCCAGUCAGGCUCUGAGAGAACGCAACACCUGCAACACACACAUAAAGGUGCUUCCUUUAAGUGUCGCCACAGCGGAUCAUCUGCCUCUAUCUUGUCCUAUUCCCUGCCUUCUCUACUGUUACACCAACCAUCUCCAUGUCCUCCUUCACUACAUCAAUGAAUCUUCUGAGCUCUUCCUCUUCUCCUUCUGCCUGGCAGCUUCAUCUCCAACAUCCUCUGUCCCUCUUCAAUACAUGUCCAAACCAUCUCAACCUGGCCUUUCUAGCUUUAUCUCUAAGCCGUUCCUUGUCGCUCCCAAUGAAAAUCUCAGCAUCUUCAUCUCUGCCACCUCCAGCUCAGCCUCCUGUCUUUUAGACAGUGCCACUGUCUCUAAACCAUACAUCAUAGCAGGUCUCACUACUGUCUUGUACACCUUCCCUUUCACUCUUGCUGUAUUCCUUCUGUCACACAUCAGCCCUGACACUCGUCACCACCCACUCCACCCUGCCUGCACCCUCUUCUUCACCUCUUUUUUACACAGUCCUUUGCUCUGAAUGGUUGACCCCACAUAUUUGAAGUCAUCCACCUUUAUGACCUCUACUCCUUGCAUCUGUACCUUUCCAUCUACCUCCCUCUCAUUCACACACAUGUAUGCCGUCUUAUCUCUGCUGACCUUCAUUCCUCUUCUCUCCAGUGCAAACCUCCACCUUUCCAGGUUCUCUUCCACCUGCUCUCUACUCUCCCCACUGCAAACAUCAUGGUCCAUGGGACCUCCUGUCUGACCUCAUAUGUCAACCUGUCCAUCACCAUUGCAAACAGGAAGGGGUUAAGAGCUGAUCCGUGAUGUAACCCUAUCUUCACCUUGAAACCAUUUUUCAUUUCAACUGCACACCUCACCACUGUCUUACUGUCCUCAUACAUACACCAACCUCACAUACUUUACAGGAACUCCUAAUACAGUACCACAGUUCUUCUCUUCAAACCCUGUCAUAUGCUUUCUCUAGAUUCACAAAGACACAGUGAAGUUCCCUCUGGCCUUCUCUAUACUUCUCUACCAUCACUCUCAAAGCAAAAGUUGCAUCUGGGGUACUCUUUCUGGGCAUGAAACCAAACUGAUGCAUGCUAAGGAGAACCUCUCAUCUUAGCCUCACUUCAACAUCUCUUUCCCAUAUCUUCAUGGUGUGACUAAUCAACUUUAUACCUCUGUAGUUACUGCAGCUCUGCACAUCACCAUUGUUCUUAAAAAUGGGGACCAGGACACCUCUUCUCCACUCAUUAGGCAUCCUCUCACUUUCCAGGAUUGUGUUAAAACAACCUGGUCAAAAAGUCGACUGCCUUUUCUCCUGAACAUCUCCAUACCUCCACAGGUAUGUCAUCCGGGCCAACUACCUUUCCAUUCUUCAUCCUCUUUUUCUCUGCACUUCCUGCUCCACUAUAUGCUUCACCUCGGCCCUCCCCUCUCUCUCUCAUUUCCUCAUUCAUCAAUUCUUCAAAAUACUCCUUCCAUCUACUCAACACUCUCUGUUCACUCACUAAUACUUGCUGUACAUCUUUUCCAACUCUAUCUCUCUGUUUAACCAAACGAUACAAGUCCCUUACUCCUUUUUUUACUGUCUAUCCUCUUAUACAAUCUCUCUUAGACCUGGGCCUUUGCCUUUACCGCAGUUUUUUGUGGUGCAACUAGCCUCACAGUACUUCUGCCUACUUUCUUCAUCACAUUGAUUUCUUAGCUACACCUUUUCUUAGCCGCCAACUUUUUUUGUCUUCUUUCCUCACUACCUUUGCUGUACUUUCUCAGUUUUGAGGUAGCCCCUCACUGCCAGAAUGCCCUUAUUGUUAUUCCCCUAUUGUUCUAUGUUAUCCACAUAGAAUAGUAACAGGAUUAGAACUUGCCCAUCCCAGUGUUCUCAGAGAUACACACCAAUAGCCAGCCCAUCUGUUAAGUUGUGGAUCCCGUCCCCCAUCACCACCAUCCAGGCCACGCUGCCGAGCCCUGAGGAUCCAUUAUCAGGAGGAGCGUGGGAGUGACCUGAAUCAGAGCUGGUUUGGUCAGGAGGAGAGGAACCUGUGGAGAUGUGCAUUCUGAUGCUAGUUAUACUUUAGUGGAGAAACAGACUUUUUCCUCUAUUCAUUUUCAUACUUAUUGGUUGAUGUAUCUUGGUAGAGAAUCUUUUACAGCGUACCAGCCAGAGCCCCCAGCUCCUGGACCACUUCUGCUUGCUGCCUCUUCUUCCUGGACUUCUGAGUGAACAAACAAACACACAAAAGCUAUCAUCUGCUUCUCUUCACCAGUUUAAAUCUAUAGUUUUACUCAGACAGGGUUCCCAUAAAAUUAUUAAUGAAGAAAUCCGCUAUUUCAGUUUAAUCACACAACUAGAUCUUAUUCUUUCUUCCAUCUGGUGCCCCACACUGGGAGUGGUGGAAUGAAUCUCACCUUGUAUUGUUGUCUAAUUACUAUUAUACUCUCCAAUACAAAGAGCAGGAAAAGCCCUCCCAGCACGCUCAGACCCUUCAGCACCACAUCCCGGUGAUCGGUGUGUGGACCAGAGCUGGCCUGAGAGACCACAGAAUAUUCAGGUUAUUCCAGUCACUUACAUGAGGCAGAAGGUGCAGCAGGGCAUCUCCACACAGGGUGCCCACAGCCAUGGCAGCCAUUGGGCAGAGGAAGGUGCGGAGGCUGGAUGGUGAAAUCAGUGGUGCCAGACCCAGAGCAAGCAGAGAUGGCAGACUGAUCACGAACAGAGCCAAGGAGGCCCAACCUAGAGCUGAGAUUAAACAUAACACACACACACACAGGUCCUGUAAACUAAAUUACAAUCUAAAGAAAAUAUGACUUAGUAUAUUUCUGUUUUAACGUGUCAGAACAGUAGUUGGGGGUGUUCAGGCAUUAUAUGUUGUGAGUUGUGUGGGUUUUAAAGUGUUUAUUAUACUAUAGAUAUUAUAGCACCCUGCUAUAAUACCCCUAGAGCAGGGCUAUUUAAUUAGAAUUCAGUGCGGCCCAAGUAGAGAGAAUUUUGUCAAGCCAUGGUCCGGACCAUCGUCAUUUUUAACUUAUGAUUCAGUGCUUUAUCCUGUAUACUGAAAAAGCGUAUAGUUGUAUCAGUGUUUUAGCAACAACUGAAAGACAAAAUUGCAAAUACUAUUCAGUAUAUUUCAACAAUAUGUAUUGUUUUAAAUAGGCCUGUCACAAUAAUUACAUUAUUAACUUAUCAUACAAUAAAUGGAAACACCAAUAAUUAUUAUUAAUGUAAAUCAAAAUGCUAUAUUUAUUCUAUUUGAUUUUAUUUAUAUUAGAUUUAGGUCUGUCUGUCAAAUCAAAUCAAAUUUAUUUGUGUAGUGCUUUUUACAACUGGUUUUGGCACAAAGCAGCUUUACAGAAACAUGAUCGCAGGAUAAUUACAUGUCAUGAUAAUUACAUGAAUGACAAACUGUACAAUAUAUGGAGAAAUGUUUGCUGAACUCGGCCAGAAUAUCAGCUUUGUUUAAAAACAGCAGUUUUAUUUUAUUUAAUAUUAUCACUGUUAUGUUUCAUAAAUGUAGUAUUUAAAAAAAAAAAAAUCUGGUGCGCACCAUCUGAAUUAGCCUUUCUCGCUUUAUUCUCUGACUGCUGCUUCUCUCUGUGUACUUCGCCUGUGUUUGUCUCCGCCCAUUGGCAGAGGAUUUGGUGAUCUUACAACACACGUGAUUGGUCUGUGAGUUUACUGCGCCACAAACCACGCAUACCGUAAAGACGUUCUGCCUCUUUAAAUGAACACUGUCAGAACUAAAUUGUUCUCAGUAGUUUAUCGGUUUGGAUCCGCCUAUUAGUGACCUCUCACCAAUCACCACUAUUCACCAAUCAAGCCUAAAUAAGUAAAUACCAGAAAUGAUUGAUUUAUUGGUGUCAGUUUCACAGGAUUUCACCACCAAUAUUCUUCACCACAGAUUUACCCUAUUUAUUUCAUUAUAGCGCCACCAUGUGGAGUAAUAAAACAGUAAAUUAAGUAUGUCAAAUGUAUUCUUAAAAUCACCUAUGUAUCUACAAAAAAUAUCCAUAUUUGGUGCUACAUAAUGAUAAUAUAUCACGAAUGAAAAUGAUAUAAUAUAUUGCUAUAUUGAUUAUUGUAGCACCCCUGAUAGUGUACAGAGUAUAUCAGGGUUUGUACAGUCAUAAAAAAACUGGAAAAGUCAUAAAGUUUGAAAAUAGCAAUUUCCAGGCCUGGAUAUGUUUUGGAAAAAUAAAAAUACCCAAAAGGUUUUGGAAGAAGUCAUGGAAACUUGAAAAUUGUUUCCAUGUAUUGAUAUAAUUUUAUGGGUAACUCCAUCACAACUCUUUGUAUAAGUUAGCGGUCUUUGUGGGUCCUAUUUAGACUGGAGUUUUAGCUUCAACUAUAACUGUAAAUUUACUAGGUGAAAUAAAAUUCUGAUUUAA